CCUUCUUUUUGGUAUGUGGGACAAGCACAGUACGAAGCUGGCACCACAGGCUACUGUUUCCUUUGCUAUAACCAGCAUGGGACCUGGAACAUGUGCCCCACAGAUCUGAGGACUGAUGGAGCUAACUGAUGACUGGUGUCUGGGAAGGCAGCAUGUUUGCCACCCUGUUCUCACUUCUGAAGGAGCUGAAAGAUUUAGUUUCCAAAGCCUCUGGCCAGAUCACACUCCCCCUCCCCGCAAGUGAAUGCCUGGGAAUCAUCUCUUUCUCACAGACAGGAAGCCCUUAUCUCACCAUGAAGACUUGGCAGCAAAGACUGGUAAAGAGGAAAGAACAAACUGGGAGUCAGUUUUCCUUUUGAUAAAUGUAUUCGCUGUAGAAAAUCGGAGUCCACUUCAAUAAAUGGUCUCUUGAAA